AAUAGGAAUGGAGACAUUUAGCCAUAUUAUUUAAAAUGAGAUAUUCACUAUAUAGGUGUAUAUCAUAUGCAUAUGUCUUUUCUGCAAUAAAAAGAUUAAAAAAACGUUUUUUAAACAUAACGAAAUCAACUCCAAACAUGAGUAAUUGUGCUUAUUAUAAAAGAAAUAAUUAUCUUAUUAAUGAUAUUUAUAAAUAUGGUAAAGAAAUCAUUUGCAAUUACGUUAUUGAUUUGGUUAUUAAUCAGAUCAUUCACAGAACGUUUAUUAACUGAUGUAAUUCUAUUAAUCGAUAUGCUUAUCCAUGUAAAGUCUAAUUUACAAUUGCUUUCUAGAGAAAUUUCUCAAUAGUGAUAAAUCAUAAAUUUGUCGUCUAUAUUCUUUUGUUCACUGUUAUAUCGAGCUUAUUAGGUAUAGCCAAGGAAAAAUGUUUUUUUGUUUUGCUACUAAAAUGGCGUCCGCAAUGGUACCGAAAUUUUUUAACGCUUAAUUGGGAAUAAUUUAAAUUCUUGUAAAAAAAAGAAAAAAAGAUAUCACAACAGUGAAACUGAUCUCAAAGCCAUGAACAACAUUUUAUCAAACUGAAAAAGAAAAUAUACAAUAGUCAGCAUGCAUCAUUCCACGAAUAUAUUGGUAGAUAUAAAAAUCGAAGGAUAAUCGUCUAGACACAGAUCAUUUCUUCAAGGAAUUGGCCAUAAAUCUGUAUUGUAUUAUUGAAGAAGUUACGUGACAAAAAAAGGAGUCAUCAUGUCAGGAUCAUCGGGACAAAAUAAUACCGAUUUUCGGUCGAUAAAAUAUUGUAAAACUGGGAAAAUGGAGGAAGGCGGAAUUGGAAGGGUCAAAGUUCGACAGACAAAUGCUAAUGGCAAUGACAAUGACGAAAAGAGGAAAUGGCCGGCAUUGUGUGACGCGAAUCCGUAUAUAGUCGAUCUUUUGAAUAAUCUUUUCAAAAAGGAAGAAACACCCAACGAGUCACCGACUGAUUAAUAUUCGGCUUAACUAUUUUUCUAUCAAGUUUUUAAAUGUUAUUGAGAUAAUCAGUAAAAAUAAAUCGGACGUAAAAUAUUUUCGUUUUGUUUUGAAUGUAACUUCUUGCAAAUCUAAUUUCUUACAAGCGCAUAAAUUGUCCAGAAAUAUACACAUAUACACGUAUAUAAUACUUUCUUUUUGUCACUUUUGUGUAAAUAAAAUAAAAGCAAAGAAAAUGUACAAAAGAACAGAUUUACAUUAGCAGACGAUACUGUACCAAGGAAAUACUGUCGGCCAAAAAUUCACAUAGUCAAUGAAUUCUAGAAUCACGUACGAAAGGACGAAUAACGUGAUGCUGUAUAUAAAAAAUAUAAAAGAGAAGAAAAAUUUAAUCUUGCUCUCUCGUUUGAAGUUGAUUUAACGAUGGAUCCUCUACGAAAAAUUUGAUCACGAUUCGACCGACCGACCUAUUGGAGCUACUCUUU